rnacentral:rRNA from 1 species
GGACCAAUAUGUUGGUCGUGCCUAGGUACGUACUGUCAUUAUUGGUUUCUCCCUUCUGAAGAACCACGAUGCCAUUAAUUUGGUGUCGUGGGGAAUCAGGACUGUUACUUUGAAAAAAUUAGAGUGUUUAAAGCAGGCUCGCGCUUGAAUACAUUAGCAUGGAAUAAUGAAAUAGGACGU